GAGAUAGCUCAGUUGGUUAGUGUGUGGCGUAGAUAAUGCCAAGGUUGCAGGUUCGAUCCCUGUAAGGGACA